rnacentral:rRNA from 1 species
UACGGAGGGGGCUAGCGUUGUUCGGAAUUACUGGGCGUAAAGGGCGCGUAGGCGGUCUGUCGAGUUAGGCGUGAAAGGCCUGGGCUUAACCCAGGAAUGGCGCUUAAUACUGAUGGGCUUGAGAUCGGAAGAGGAGAGUGGAAUUCCCAGUGUAGAGGUGAAAUUCGUAGAUAUUGGGAAGAACACCGGUGGCGAAGGCGGCUCUCUGGUCCGCAUCUGACGCUGAGGCGCGAAAGCGUGGGGAG